GGGGGUUUUAGCUCCCGCUUCGAGAGAGAACUCGGCUUUCGCUUGGAGCCCUAGCUGCUCUCCACUUCCUCUCUCUCUCUCCCAUCUAUCUCCAAGAUGAAGCUCGUCAGGUUUUUGAUGAAGCUGAACAACGAGACCGUCUCGAUCGAGCUCAAGAACGGCACCGUCGUUCAUGGCACCAUCACAGGAGUGGAUAUUAGUAUGAAUACACAUCUGAAGACGGUGAAGCUUACAUUGAAAGGAAAAAAUCCAGUUACCCUUGAUCACCUAAGCGUCAGAGGUAACAACAUUCGUUACUACAUCCUCCCUGACAGCUUAAACCUGGAGACUUUACUGGUUGAGGAAACACCUAGGGUCAAGCCCAAAAAGCCGGCUGCCGGGAGACCUUUGGGUCGGGGUCGGGGCCGUGGGCGUGGACGAGGUCGUGGCCGUGGCCGUUAGCUCUGUCACCCUUCUAUCAAUUUUUGCAGCAUCUGCUUCUGUACAAGUAGCCUGCUUACAAGGAGAAUAUUUGAUUACUCUCCAAGCACUAGGCAAGCAGGAUUGUUUGUUUGCCAAAAGUUAUCUUUACAAGACUUCAUGGCGUUGGCUGUCGCCUUUCGCUAUUACCUUGUUUUAAGUGGAAAAGGUUCUCAUGUCGGAAAAAAGAUGGUAUCAUUACGUUGGGACUCAGUUAUUGCUUUCAAAUGGAUCCGCCCCGUAAGGCAGCUAAGCUGCGGCCAGCUCAAUUGAGUCUCGACUUCGAACGUGGAAAUUCAGGUGGCCCAGCUACAUUCCAGAUCCACCCUCGCAAUGGUUCCCAAGUAGAAGCAAGGGGCGACUGACGUCCUUGAGACCUUCAGCUGGAGCCAGGACUACGGCGCCGAGAUCUGCGAGGCAAGGCCUGGAGCCCUUCGGGGCGCACCGGCGAAUCCACCAUGAUUGCCUCCAUGGCCAACUUCCUUGACUACGAUGUCUACUAUCUCGAGCUCAACAUGAAGCUCUGCCGCUUGAUCAUGAACUCAGACCUGCAAGUCCAUCAUUGUGAUCGAGGACAUCGACUGAUCCCUCCAUCGCUCGGGUGACCGAGUGAAGGGCGGUGAGAGCUCCACUGGAUCGAUGGUCGGAAUGCGGUAGGGAGGUCGAUAAGUUGGAUCUGGCCUUGAUUAGGUGGAGGAUGGACAUGCACAUGGAGAUGCGAAGAGGAAGGUGAAGGUGGAGGCGGAAGCAAGGGAGACUGCAGGGGCAAUGCAAUAAGUUUAAGCCAUAGCCCCCUUUUUCCCUUUAUGUUAUUUUAGGAAGAGGCAACCGUGAUGUUUGUGUUUCGCUUCAUAAGCACUUUGAGAGUAUCUGUUGUUAGUUUUAAUAUAAUUGAUCUUUUCGGUCUGAUUUAAGUGGCACGAUGGGUGGUUUUGUGACAAGGUGUUUGUCUGUUUGAUCUUCUGUUAUUGAUUAAUAAAGAGGUUUUUAGGGGUUCA